rnacentral:rRNA from 1 species
AGCUCCAAUAUCGUAUAUUAAAGUUGUUGCAGUUAAAAAGCUUGUAGUUGGAUUUCUGGUGGGAGCACAGGUCAGCCCUCACAGGUUGUACUGUUGUUGCAUCCUGCUGUUUCCUGAUUUCGGAGGGAAUGGCCUUGCUAUUAAGUUAGUGUGGUCGGGAACUCUGUUGUUUACUGUGAAAAAAUUAGAGUGUUCAAAGCAGGCCUUUGCUGUGAAUACAUUAGCAUGGAAUAAUAAGAUAGGACUGUAGUGCUAUUUUGUUGGUUUGUGUACUAUGGUAAUGAUUAAUAGGGAUAGUUGGUGGUAUUCAUAUUCAAUUGUCAGAGGUGAAAUUCUUGGAUUUAUGGAAGAUGAACUACUACAAAAGCAUUUACCAAGGAUGUUUUCA